UACGUAGGGUGCGAGCGUUAAUCGGAAUUACUGGGCGUAAAGCGUGCGUAGGCGGUUCGUUAAGUUCGUUGUGAAAGCCCCCGGGCUCAACCUGGGAAUGGCAAUGGAAACUGGCGGGCUGGAGUAUGGCAGAGGGGGGUGGAAUUCCGCGUGUAGCAGUGAAAUGCGUAGAGAUGCGGAGGAACACCGAUGGCGAAGGCAGCCCCCUGGGCCAAUACUGACGCUCAGGCACGAAAGCGUGGGGAGCAAACAGG
rnacentral:rRNA from 1 species